CUGGCCUCUUGGGGUAGGUGCCCCUCUGAUAUAAUGCAAUUAUACCGGUGUGCAGUAUGUGUAGCUUGGGAUGAUUACAAUAUUGGAAACAAUGGUGGAAAGCCCUAAUUAUGAAUUUUUAUACACAAAGUUUAUAGAAUGGAUAAUACUAUAGUGUGUAAUUACACAAAAAUAUACAACUUUCAGCAAACGAUUUCUUGGCUCUCGCAUCAAUGAAAAACUUUGCAAAUGUGAUAAGUAAUGGGAAUUGGUGAAUUCACUGAAUCCUCGAAUGUUUGAACGCCUUUUGCGCUCCUUGGUAUUCCCAGGAGCAUGCCUGUUUGAGUGUCAUGAAAUUCCCAACUGCCUUUUUAGCAUUUAUGUUAAGGGUGAAGUUGGAGUUGGAGGAUAAUUGCUGGUGGUGGGGGGGGGGGGGCUGUUGGCUCCUCUUGAAUGGAUGAGCUUUUCUAAUGCCUCAUGGGUUAUUAACACUAAUGUGAUAACUAUCUACGUUAGAUGUGAAAGCUUGUGAGUAGGACUGACUUUAAUUAUAAAGAAGCUCCCUAUAGAAAAGGGUAUAUUGACUUUAUAAAUAUAUCUGACCCUCCAAUCAGGUAGGACUACCCGCUGAACCUAAGCCAUAUCAAUAAGCGGGAGGAAACC
rnacentral:misc_RNA from 1 species